rnacentral:rRNA from 1 species
UGGGGAAUAUUGCACAAUGGGGGAAACCCUGAUGCAGCGACGCCGCGUGGAGGAAGAAGGUCUUCGGAUUGUAAACUCCUGUUGUCGGGGACGAUAAUGACGGUACCCGACAAGAAAGUGACGGCUAACUACGUGCCAGCAGCCGCGGUAAAACGUAGGUCACAAGCGUUGUCCGGAAUUACUGGGUGUAAAGGGAGCGCAGGCGGGAAGACAAGUUGGAAGUGAAAUCUACGGGCUCAACUCGUAAAUUGCUUUCAAAACUGUUUUCUUGAGUAGUGCAGAGGUAGGCGGAAUUCCCGGUGUAGCGGUGGAAUGCGUAGAUAUCGGGAGGAACACCAGUGGCGAAGGCGGCCUACUGGGCACCAACUGACGCUGAGGCUCGAAAGUAUGGGUAGCAAACAGGAUUAGAUACCCGCGU